rnacentral:tRNA from 2 species
GCGCGCGUGCUGUAAUUGGUAGCCAGGCUAGCUUGAGGUGCUAGUGUCCUUUGGGACGUGGAAGUUCAAGUCUUCUCGCGCGCACCA